GUUCCCCUUCAUCGCCCCGGUGAGCAGCAGAGAAAAAUGUGUCAGUGGCCCGGGGAAAAGCCGCUGCGCCUGCCGCGGCUGCAGCCACCCGUCCCUUGUUAGGCUAAUUGCACUGGCUCGUCAUCUUCCUCUUCCUCCUCCUCCUCCUCUCCAAAGCCCUAGACACAGAGAGGAGAGGGCGGAGAAGAGAAGCGCCUACCAUCACCUCCUCCUCCAUACACACACUCAUGGAUGUCACAGGGAGGGGGGGAAAAGUUAACCAGGGGUGGAGAAAAGAUUCCUAUCCCCUCCCUACAGCCGAGAUUUUCCUUUCAGACACCGGAAGAGAACAGGAUCCAGUCCAGGUUGUCGAUUCAGCCGGAUCUCUUAGACUCACACUCAGGAAUUUCAAAAACUUUUCCGCCCGAUCCUAAUACAUGUGACACGGACGGAAGUAUAUGCAUACGAUUGCAGUCUUUGUGUCGCCACGCCAGCGGAGCUUGGGGAGGGAUAGCCUCUUCUGUUUGUUGCAGCAGCAAAGCAAACACACGACAAAGAGUUCUGUAGCAUCUGAAAGACCUUAUUGCAGCGUGCGCUUCUGUGGACUACAAUCUACUUCAUCAGGCGGAUAAAGUGUCUAUCUUUCCUCGGCAGGUCUGAGAAUAACCCUUCAUGCAUCUGAUGAAGUGCCCGGAAUUACGCUACAAUAAAUGUGUUCGCUUUUAAGGAGCCACAAGACGCUGGUUGUGCAGCUUGAAGUAGAUUCUAAGGCGGCGAACUUUCGUGUGAGGUCAAAUGUGUCCUGGAUCGAGAUGCAAAAUAACCCGCGACUCGCACUUGCUUCACAGCUAAUGUUUACUUUUAAAUUACACUCCUCGGCAGAACUGCACUUUAGCCAAGACGUGGCUGCAGUAGGGGUUGAAAUAUUUUCUUUUUGAGCGUUGGCAACUUUCUGGAUGUCCUACACAGCAAGGCACGAAACUGGUUUUCCAAACGGAGCUAGCCUCGCGUACAGCUAAAUGGCCUCUAAAGCUUGCUCUCUGGUCAUCCUGGGACGAGCAGACAUCUCCGACGGCCCCCACCCCUUUUUCCUUUUUUAAUCAAGACUCCAACGCCAUUACAUUGCCCCACAGCCUACGGCAAUCGCGGUACUGCCAGCUGCACCCACGUCUGGCUGCCAGCUGGGCGCUGUGUUCCCUGGCUGUUCCUUGGGCGGGGUAAGGGGAUGGGAAAGAGAUAUUAUAUUAGACCGAUUUUUACCUCGUUUGCUGCUAGCACAAUGCACUAUUUUCACAAACAGAUUUUCCUUCCCGAGAGGGAGGGAGGGAGGGGAGGGGAGGGGAACACACACCCCUCCAUUGUUUGCAACGCACCACAAAGCCUAGUCAAUCUCUCCCCAGACUGAGGCAGCCCAGGCGCUGCUGCUUAUGCAAACUCGCCCAAAUUGGGCUGGCCAGCGGGAUGGAACUCCACCCACGCUUGACAACAAGGCAACGUGAAGGAGCGAACCGGAGUUCCUGCUUUUCCCCACUUGGCUUCCAUCCCCAUUACAGGAACCCGCCAGUCUAGGCUCCGGUUCUGAAGAGUUCCCGCGUCUCCACACCAGCAGGGGGAAAUGGUCUUCGGAGACGGGGUUCCCGCCCAAAACUCUCGCAGGCCAGCGGAGAGCGGCCGACAUGGACGUAGACCCGCCUUCCACCUCCCUCCUCUUCACUGCUGGCUGCAAAAACAAUAUCCAGAGAGGCUGUGCGAGACCAGACCCCUCUCAACGGUAGACUGCAAACAAAAUAUGGAUUUUUUAAAAAGUAUUGCUGUUCUUUGGAAUUAAAAAUAGCAACGAUGUACUUA